AGCGAACGCUGGCGGCAGGCCUAAUACAUGCAAGUCGAGCGCACCUUCGGGUGAGCGGCGGACGGGUGAGUAACGCGUGGGAACGUGCCCUUUGGUACGGGAUAACUGAGGGAAACUUCAGCUAAUACCGUAUGUGCCCUACGGGGGAAAGAUUUAUCGCCAUUGGAGCGGCCCGCGUUGGAUUAGGUAGUUGGUGAGGUAAAGGCUCACCAAGCCUACGAUCCAUAGCUGGUCUGAGAGGAUGAUCAGCCACACUGGGACUGAGACACGGCCCAGACUCCGAGGGGAGGCAGGAGUAGGGAAUCUUGCGCAAUGGGCGAAAGCCGGACGCAGCCAUGCCGCGGGAAUGAUGGAGGUCUUAGGAUUGAAAAAUUCUUUCACCGGGGAAGAUAAUGACGGUACCCGGAGAAAAAGCCCCGGCUAACUUCGGGCCAGCAGCCGCGGUAACAC
rnacentral:rRNA from 1 species